GACGAACGCUGGCGGCGUGCUUAACACAUGCAAGUCGAACGAGAGCGUAGAGACAGCUUGCUUUUUCUACCAUCUAGUGGCAAACGGGUGAGUAACGCGUAAACAACCUGCCCUACGGAUGGGGACAACAGCUGGAAACGGCUGCUAAUACCGAAUACGUUCCGAAAGUCGCAUGACUAUCGGAAGAAAGGAUGGCCUCUAUUUAUAAGCUAUCGCCGGAGGAGGGGUUUGCGUCUGAUUAGCUAGUUGGAGGGGUAACGGCCCACCAAGGCGACGAUCAGUAGCCGGUCUGAGAGGAUGAACGGCCACAUUGGAACGGAGACACGGUCCAGACUCCUACGGGAGGCAGCAGUGGGGAAUCUUCCGCAAUGGGCGAAAGCCUGACGGAGCAACGCCGCGUGAGUGAAGACGGCCUUCGGGUUGUAAAGCUCUGUUAUACGGGACGAAUAAUCUUGUGGUUAAUACCCAUGAGAAGUGACGGUACCGUAAGAGAAAGCCACGGCUAACUACGUG
rnacentral:rRNA from 1 species